CGAAGUUGUCCUUCCCUCUGCGAAAGGAGUCGCUGCAGUCCUCCGCGCCUCCGCCGGGCAGCAGGAUCAUCAGCAGGAGGAGCAGAGGUCCUGCUGCUUCAUUAAAGCUCAAAGCGUCACCAAAGACAGUUUCCAUCUCGGACAUCAGCUCUUCGACCUGUAGCACUCUGGGAGGCCACACAAGAACAGACAGACUAAGAGACAGCUUCUACCCCAAGGGUGUCUCAGCCCUGAAUGUGGACAGAAAUCAGCACUUAUGUUGUUUGUUGCAUUCUUUAGCACAAGCUAUUUGCUGCUAAAUUUUGUUGUUCUUAAAACUAUUCUAUUCAAUUCUAUUUUAUUCUAUUCUUUCUUUGCCCAUUUGUAAAUUGUCAAAGUAGUGAUUACAAACCGGGGUUUUGUGUGUUUCUUUGGGUACUUGUGUACAUUUAAGACAGUGGGUGAUAUUAGAACAUUUGACAAACUAAUUUUUGUUUUGUUUUAUGUGUCUGUUGUAUUUUGGUUCAUUUUUAUGAAAGAGUCAGCCGUUGUAGCUCCACUAAAAGACAUAAUAUGUAUAUAUUUGACAAGUGCCAGUUAUUCUGGACUCAGAUGAAGGUUCAUCGAUGGUAACAAGAAAACAACAUUGCGUUCAGUGAAAACCACAAUACUGUGUAUUGGCUUUUCAACAGAUCCUCUUUGUAUUCAAUGUGUUUGCAAGAAAUACAUUUAAAAAAUCAUAAAAUUGAUACAUGUGCAGGACCCAAAAGUUUGCAGGCUAAUUGUUAUAAAAAGAGGCAUUUUAAAUAGCAGGAAAAAAGACUGAGUUUGAAAGACAAAAACACAACUUUAACACUAUUACAAAAACUGGGACUUUCUUUCGGAAUUUAGCUUGUUACAAUUUAACUACAGUUGCCUUACAUUUGUUUUGAGCCGUUUUGUCAACACAUUGUGUGAAUGAAUGUGAUAAAACUUAAUAGAGAACAUAAGAAAAAAGGAUACCACUGAUCAUAAAAUUACCAGCAGAUUUAAAUAUAAAACUUUAUUGUUUCGUUAAAAAGUGGAAUUCAUAGCAACCCUGAUUUUAACAAGACUCUGACUGUCAGCAGAUUUUGUCUUUAUCCUCUUCGUUUGAGAAAAACAUUAAAAGAUGACAUUA